rnacentral:rRNA from 1 species
UACGAAGGGGGCUAGCGUUGCUCGGAAUCACUGGGCGUAAAGCGCACGUAGGCGGAUUGUUAAGUCAGGGGUGAAAUCCUGGAGCUCAACUCCAGAACUGCCUUCGAUACUGGCGAUCUUGGAGUCCGGGAGAGGUGAGUGGAACUCCGAGUGUAGAGGUGAAAUUCGUAGAUAUUCGGAAGAACACCAGUGGCGAAGGCGGCUCACUGGCCCGGUACUGACGCUGAGGUGCGAAAGCGUGGGGAGCAAACAGG